rnacentral:RNase_P_RNA from 1 species
GGGGAAUAGGAUAAGGCGGAAGCUACUACUUAUUCUCUAUAAAGUGCCACAGAGACGAGUUAUGCAGAAAUGCAUAGGUGAAACGCGGUA